rnacentral:rRNA from 1 species
UGCCCCAGUAACGGCGAGUGAAGCGGCAGGAGCUCAAAUUUGAAAUCUGGGGCCCCCGGCCUCCGAGUUGUAAUUUGGAGAGGCUCCUUCGGGGGGGAGCGCUGGCCCAUGUUCCUUGGAACAGGACGUCGCAGAGGGUGAGAAUCCCGUGCCAGGCCGGCUGCCUCCUCCCGCGUGAAGGGCCUUCGACGAGUCGAGUUGUUUGGGAAUGCAGCUCCAAGUGGGUGGUAAAUUUCAUCUAAAGCUAAAUACCGGCGGGAGACCGAUAGCGCACAAGUAGAGUGAUCGAAAGAUGAAAAGCACUUUGAAAAUAGAGUCAAAAAGUACGUGAAAUUGUUGAAAGGGAAGCGCUUGAGACCAGACUCAGACCCAGGCAAACACCGCGCCCCCAGGGGCCGUGCAAUUGCCCGGUGCUGGGCCAGCAUCAGUUGGCGUGGCGGGACAAGGGCGCGGGAAAUGUGGCUCCCCUCGGGGAGUGUUAUCAGGCCCGCGCCGGAUGCCGCCGACGUCGACUGAGGACCGCGCCUCGGCUAGGAUGCUGGCUUAAUGGCCUUCAGCGACCCGUCUUGAAACACGGACCAAGGAGUCUAACAUCUAUGCGAGUGUUUGGGCGCCAAACCCUUGCGCGGAAUGAAAGUGAGCGGAGGUGGGAACCCCUAGCCGGGCGCACCAUCGACCGAUCCUGAUGUCUUCGGAUGGAUUUGAGUAGGAGCAUAGCUGUUGGGACCCGAAAGAUGGUGAACUAUGCCUGAAUAGGGUGAAGCCAGAGGAAACUCUGGUGGAGGCUCGCAGCGGUUCUGACGUGCAAAUCGAUCGUCAAAUUUGGGUAUAGGGGCGAAAGACUAAUCGAACCAUCUAGUAGCUGGUUCCUGCCGA